AUUAAUGUUUAACUCAGGAGGUGCAUCUGGCUCAGGAAGUGAGCUCCAAGGUGGAUCCUCCCUUCUUUCUCAAGCCAUUUCCUUGCUACCUCCUGUCUCAACAGUCUCUUGCUAGCUUGACUGGGAUCUUUUCACACCUUGCCAAAAUACCAUCGCCACCACCACCCUUCAGCUCCAAAGUCUAAGUACUGGGGAUCGAACUUCGGACCUUGUGCUUUCAAGGCAGGUGCAGUGCCACUGACCCCAUGAAAGACCUGGUUUUUAAAAAUUAGAAUUUUGCACUUUGAAGUUGGAAAGACUUGUUUGUAUAAGAGAAGUCUGAGGAUCAAAGAAGAAACAAUAUAUUUUGGGUUCCAAGUGUUAAGAACCUAAUGGGACUUUAUUAGAAAGCUAUACUGAGCUGUCUACAACAGCAGAAUCAAAGGAAAAGGUAAGAUUGGCUAAGCUUCAAGAAGCUAGGAUCCAGGUGGGGAGAUUCAGAGGUCAUACUCCUUCUCACCUUAUGUUUAUGUUUCUUUCCACACAAUGGCUUUGUGUUCUCUUACUAUUAGAUCAACAUUUACACAUGGGUGGAGGGUAGGCCAUCAGUUAUAGGCUACACAUCCUUACAUAUUUACUGCUCAAAAGCAAAAAGAAUAGCUCCUUUUUAAAAAUAAACAUCCUAGGGAAGGAUUCUGAUUGGCUCUGCUUGACCACAUGGUCUUCACUAGAAUCACCUGGUUUAGGUGAGGGAGUAGUAACACCUCAAAAGAAGAGAGUGUUAUUUCCAGAAGAAUUGGGAGGAGAAGUGAUAGCUGGCUAUCAUAGGAGAUGAUUUAUCAGAGGUCUUUUAGCAAGUUAGGAACAGAUUUAGGACUAGAAAUAGAAUAAUUAAAAUUUAUUAUUAAUAAAAAUGGAAGUCUCUGGAUUAUUUUCAUGUGAAGUAUGGAGGUGAACUUCAUACUAGACUUCAUACUAGUUACUGAGCUGUUCAUUAAUUUAUAUUUUUAAAUAUUGCUGUUGUAUAGAGGAUAGAUUGUAGGAAAGUGUGUACAUAGGAAAACUGGUUAGGAACUCUGGUAGCUCUCUAGGGGAGAAACAAUGGUGGCUCGGACUAAAGUUAUGGCAAAGGAAAUAGAGAAAAGUGGACAGAUUAGAGGCAUUCUUAGAGAUAGAACCUUAGAACUUGCUGUUGGAUUCAAUGUGGUGACUAAGAAAAAAGAAAAAUCAAG
rnacentral:lncRNA from 1 species